AUUGAACGCUGGCGGCAUGCCUUACACAUGCAAGUCGAACGGCAGCACGGGUGCUUGCACCUGGUGGCGAGUGGCGAACGGGUGAGUAAUAUAUCGGAACGUACCUUAUUGUGGGGGAUAACGCAGCGAAAGCUGUGCUAAUACCGCAUAAUCCCUAAGGGGGAAAGCGGGGGACCGUAAGGCCUCGCGCAAUUAGAGCGGCCGAUACCUGAUUAGCUAGUUGGUGAGGUAAAGGCUCACCAAGGCAACGAUCAGUAGCUGGUCUGAGAGGACGAUCAGCCACACUGGGACUGAGACACGGCCCAGACUCCUACGGGAGGCAGCAGUGGGGAAUUUUGGACAAUGGGGGCAACCCUGAUCCAGCAAUGCCGCGUGAGUGAAGAAGGCCUUCGGGUUGUAAAGCUCUUCUGUCAGGGAAGAAACAGCAGCUCUAACACAGUUUGCGAAUGACGGUACCUGAAGAGUAAGCACCGGCUAACUACGUGCCAGCCGCCGCAGUAA
rnacentral:rRNA from 1 species